rnacentral:rRNA from 1 species
ACGGAAGGCAGCAGUGGGGAAUAUUGGACAAUGGGGGAAACCCUGAUCCAGCGACGCCGCGUGAGUGAAGAAGUAUUUCGGUAUGUAAAGCUCUAUCAGCAAGGAAGAAAAUGACGGUACUUGACUAAGAAGCUCCGGCUAAAUACGUGCCAGCAGCCGCGGUAAUACGUAUGGAGCAAGCGUUAUCCGGAUUUACUGGGUGUAAAGGGAGCGUAGACGGUAUGGCAAGUCUGAUGUGAAAACCCAAGGCUCAACCAUGGGACUGCAUUGGAAACUGUCAAACUAGAGUGCAGGAGGGGUAAGCGGAAUUCCUAGUGUAGCGGUGAAAUGCGUAGAUAUUAGGAGGAACACCGGUGGCGAAGGCGGCUUACUGGACUGUAACUGACGUUGAGGCUCGAAAGCGUGGGGAGCAAACAGGAUUAGAUACCCUGGUA